CCACUUAUCUCCCUGAGUGAAGGUAGAAUUCUGGCACGGGGUAAGGGCAGUGGUGUAUGGAAUUCUGUCACAACAACAUAAGUUUACCUUCCCAUCAUAGCUGGAUUAACUUCCAGCAGUAGGAAAUGGAAAAGAAGAUGGCUUACUGGGCUCUGUGCCUAACCUUGUAAGCAUUAUAGAAUGGAAGGAAGCUGGAUACCCUCCUGAAAGAUAUGCUAUAAUUCAGCCACAACUUACUGGAUCUAAGGAUUGCUCGCAUGGAAGAAAGAAAUAAUUCAUUUGAUAGCGGGAUUUAUUGGAUGAAAUUCUUUGGCCUGGGCAAUGCAAAUCAAAGUGUAGAAUUGGUGAGAAGUGUUCAGAGGUGAACAGUGGUAUGUGGACAAGAAGUCCCGUGGCAUUUCCAAACCAGACACCAUGCUGGGGCACCAGAUGACACCAAGUGAAGAAAUCCACACAAGAAGGAUCAUCUGAAGGAAAGAAAUCCAAGCAAUAUGGUAA